AUAACUUGUCAUCCCUACUAUCUUCUGUCUAGUCAUACUCCUAUUCACCGUUCUCAACUACUCAUACAUGCCCUGCUCUGGUUUACACUGCCGGUUUACACUGUUUCUCCAAGCCAUCACAGCUGAUAUCUCCUCGUGCUAUCCCCAAACUGCCACUCUUAACUCUUGAAGUAAAUAAAUAAUCUUUGCUGGCAGGACUAUGCUGAACCUCCGUAGGCACUCUCUAAUUAGAUGUCCUAGGUCCUCCCAAUUCUUAGUCCUUUUAUACCUGUUUUUCUCCUUCUCUUAUUCCAUUUAGUUUUUCAAUUCAUACGAAACCGUAUCCAGGCCAUCACCAAUCAUUCUAUACGACAAAUGUUUCUUCUAACAACCCCACAGUAUCACCCCUUACCACAAGACCUCCCUCCAGCUUAAUCUCUCCCACUCUAGGUUCCCACACCGCCCCUAAUCCCACUUGAAGCAGCUCUGAGAAACAUCGCCCAUUCUCUCUCCAUACCACACCCCAAAAAUUUUCGCCUCCCCAACACUUCAACACUAUUUUGUUUUAUUUUUCUUAUUAAUAUAAGGAGGCAGGAAUGUCAGGCCUCUGAGCCCAAGCCAAGCCAUCGCAUCCCCGGUGACUUGCACGAAUAUGCCCAGAUGGCCUGAAGUAACUGAAGAAUCACAAAAGAA
rnacentral:lncRNA from 1 species